rnacentral:rRNA from 1 species
CAGUAGCCGCGGUAAUACGUAGGGGGCAAGCGUUAUCCGGAAUUACUGGGUGUAAAGGGAGCGUAGACGGUUAAACAAGUCUGAAGUGAAAUGCCGGGGCUCAACCCCGGAGCUGCUUUGGGAACUGUAGAACUGGAGUGUCGGAGGGGUAAGCGGAAUUCCCAGUGUAGCGGUGAAAUGCGUAGAUAUUGGGAGGAACACCGGCGGCGAAGGCGGCUUACUGGACGACAACUGACGUUGAGGCUCGAAGGCGUGGGUAGCAAACAGGAUUAGAUACCCGCGUAGUCCCUGUCUCUUAUAC